rnacentral:rRNA from 1 species
AACGCUAGCUACAGGCUUAACACAUGCAAGUCGAGGGGAAACGACAUCGAAAGCUUGCUUUUGGUGGGCGUCGACCGGCGCACGGGUGAGUAACGCGUAUCCAACCUGCCCACCACUUGGGGAUAACCUUGCGAAAGUAAGACUAAUACCCAAUGAUAUCCCACGAAGGCAUCCGAAUGGGAUUAAAGAUUUAUCGGUGAUGGAUGGGGAUGCGUCUGAUUAGCUUGUUGGCGGGGUAACGGCCCACCAAGGCGACGAUCAGUAGGGGUUCUGAGAGGAAGGUCCCCCACAUUGGAACUGAGACGCGGUCCAAACUCCUACGGGAGGCAGCAGUGAGGAAUAUUGGUCAAUGGACGAGAGUCUGAACCAGCCAAGUAGCGUGCAGGACGACGGCCCUAUGGGUUGUAAACUGCUUUUAUAAGGGAAUAAAGUGAGCUACGUGUAGCUUUUUGCAUGUACCUUAUGAAUAAGGACCGGCUAAUUCCGUGCCAGCAGCCGCGGUAAUACGGAAGGUCCGGGCGUUAUCCGGAUUUAUUGGGUUUAAAGGGAGCGCAGGCGGUCUUAUAAGCGUGACGUGAAAUGCAGCGGCUCAACCGUAUGAUGUGCGUCGCGAACUGUGAGACUUGAGUGUAUUCGAUGUCAGCGGAAUUUGUGGUGUAGCGGUGAAAUGCUUAGAUAUCACGAAGAACUCCGAUUG